GUGGGGAAUAUUGGACAAUGGGCGAAAGCCUGAUCCAGCCAUGCCGCGUGUGUGAAGAAGGUCUUCGGAUUGUAAAGCACUUUAAGUUGGGAGGAAGGGCAGUAAGUUAAUACCUUGCUGUUUUGACGUUACCGACAGAAUAAGCACCGGCUAACUUCGUGCCAGCAGCCGCGGUAAUACGAAGGGUGCAAGCGUUAAUCGGAAUUACUGGGCGUAAAGCGCGCGUAGGUGGUUUUGUAAGUUGGAGGUGAAAUCCCCGGGCUCAACCUGGGAACUGCCUCCAAAACUGCAUGACUAGAGUACGGUAGAGGGUAGUGGAAUUUCCUGUGUAGCGGUGAAAUGCGUAGAUAUAGGAAGGAACACCAGUGGCGAAGGCGACUACCUGGACUGAUACUGACACUGAGGUGCGACAGCGUGGGGAGCAAACAGGAUUAGAUACCCUGGUAGUCC
rnacentral:rRNA from 1 species